rnacentral:rRNA from 1 species
AUGUCCGGCUGCCCCUGCUCCACCUCCGCCUCCGCCUCCUCUCCACUCUCCCUCCUGCCCCCUUCCAGCUCCGUCCCCGCCGCUUCCAGGCGCAGCACCGUCGCCUUCUCCUCCUCGCGCGGCCCACGGAGAGGCGCGCGCGCGAUAGUCGCGGCGAGCAGCGGCAGCAAGGACGAGAAGGCCGAGGCGGGGGAGGAGGAGGAGGGGGAGCCGGCGUUCAACCCGUUCGGGUUCGUCACGGACAACCCGUCCAGCCGCAGCGCCAUCCAGCUGCCCGCGUCGCCCGCCCAGGACGGCAAUGUCGGCCAGAUGCUCUACAGGACGGAGGACAAAGGGAGGGAGUACGGCAAGAGCGUGAGAUCAGGGGAGUUUCGAUGGUUCGUGAGGCAAACAGGUUCUCCUGAUUCACGGCGUGGGACUAUUAUGUUUCUUCACGGUGCUCCAACUCAGUCAUUUAGUUAUCGCACGGUUAUGGCUCAGAUGGCAGAUGCUGGCUACCAUUGCUUUGCUCCUGACUGGAUAGGAUUUGGGUUCAGUGAGAUGCCACAGCCUGGAUAUGGAUUCGAUUUCAAAGAAGAGGAGUUCCACAAGGCAUUUGAUGAACUUCUUGUUACUCUAAAUAUCACUGAACCAUUCUUCUUAGUUGUCCAGGGAUUUCUUGUGGGUUCUUAUGGUCUGACAUGGGCAUUGAAGAACUCGAACAAACUUCUUAAGGUAGCAAUCCUUAACAGCCCACUUACUGUUUCUUCUCCAGUGCCUGGAGUCUUUAAGCAGCUCAGGUUUCCACUUGUGGGCGAAUUUACCUGCCAAAAUGCUAUCCUGGCUGAGAGAUUCAUUGAAGCAGGUAGCCCGUAUGUGCUGAAGUCAGAGAAGGCCGACGUAUACAGAUUGCCGUAUCUAUCAAGUGGAGCACCUGGAUUUGCAUUACUUGAAGCUGCCAGGAAGGCCAAUUUUCAAGAUGUAUUAAGCAGAAUUUCGGCUGGAUUUUCAUCCGACAGCUGGGACAAACCAAUAUUGCUGGCAUGGGGGGAGUCGGACAAGUACCUACCGCUCUCGAUAGCCGAGGAGUUCAAGAAAAACAAUCCAUCAGUGGUGAAACUGAAACCCAUCGAAGGAGCUGGUCACAUGCCGCAAGAGGACUGGCCAGAGAAGGUGGUGACGGCCCUGAAUUCCUUCCUGUAUUAG